GACGAACGCUGGCGGCGUGCUUAACACAUGCAAGUCGAACGGUGAAGCUCCAGCUUGCUGGAGUGGAUCAGUGGCGAACGGGUGAGUAACACGUGAGCAACCUGCCCCUGACUCUGGAAUAAGCGCUGGAAACGGCGUCUAAUACUGGAUACGAGAAGGGUCCGCAUGGGCACUUUCUGGAAAGUUGUUCGGUUGGGGAUGGGCUCGCGGCCUAUCAGCUUGUUGGUGAGGUAAUGGCUCACCAAGGCGACGACGGGUAGCCGGCCUGAGAGGGCGACCGGCCACACUGGGACUGAGACACGGCCCAGACUCCUACGGGAGGCAACAGUGGGGAAUAUUGCACAAUGGGCGAAAGCCUGAUGCAGCGACGCCGCGUGAGGGAUGACGGCCUUCGGGUUGUAAACCUCUUUCAGCAGGGAAGAAGCGAAAGUGACGGUACCUGCAGAAGAAGCACCGGCUAACUACGUG
rnacentral:rRNA from 1 species